rnacentral:lncRNA from 1 species
AGUCUGAUGGGACUUUCUGUUCCCCUGAUAAUAGAACUGGUAUUGUGAAGUAUCCCCUUUGGUCUCCAUCUAAUGUUACAAAAAAUGUAUUUUAUGAGUACAAUGUCAUAUCUGUCCAUCCUGUGCCUAUCACCUGGAUUCUCAGAUAAUCAAGCAGCAGAUGGCAAAACACUUUGGAAAAGGACUGUAUUUGUUUUGCACUUUAAAAAGUCAGUCUGAGGUCAAUGAAGAAAUUUUAACUGCCUACAUGAGCCUUUAGAUCAAGCAAUAUGCUUGAUCUAAAGAUUUACUUGUAAGCAUAUUGUCCGUGCUUAGCAAUAAAAUUGUAAACGAGAUCA